rnacentral:lncRNA from 1 species
CCCCAAUAUCGCAGGGGGUUGGCUGUACACUCCGCCUGUGAUAUUAUUUCUAAUAUCCAGGGGAAGAGAGAAUAAUAUUACACAUCGCCGGGGGUGUACACCCCACCUGUGAUAUUGUACUUAAUAUUUAGCGGGAGAGAGGGGGUGAUAUUACCAAUAACGUAGGGGAAAGUCAACCCUCUCCCCUGCUGGAUAUUACGAGCCAUACCAUGGAAAAAUGGACAUGGACAUGGAAAUUUUAUUUCAUAUGCAUACUCGUUAAAGAAAG